rnacentral:lncRNA from 1 species
AGCUCUUUAAUACCCAAACCAGAAAGUUGUUCUCCCAUCAGUUGCCUGCUUUUACCAGGUAAAAAUAUGAAAUACUUCCUCAUCUUAUUUAUUAGGAGCAUAAAAAAAAUUUAUUACGAGUUUAGGACCUUUCCUUUAUAUUGUAUUUAUCCUUGGUCCAAGGGGCGGGGAGAAGAGAACGGGAAAGGAUUGGAGCACACUUUUGGGGAUUGAACCAGGGCGUUCACAACUCUAACAACUGAGGUGACUCCCGGGGACACCUUUAUGUUGUAUUUUUUGAAGCCUAGGUUGUAGAAUUUGUAACUUUUCGGCACCAAAUGUUCUAGUAGCUUUUUAAACAGUCAGAACCUUAUGGUUUGCUUGUACUAAAACUGUCUAUAGUCUAUGGGCCAAACUCCUAUCAUUUACAGCAUAGUAAUAUUUUGUUCAAGCAAAUUAUUGGAAACACUAUCUAGUUUUUAGUAUUGUCGCCAAUUAACGUUAUGGAUGAUUAAACAUCACUACGGUAUUUUUAUAAUUUUUCUUGAAGUUUGCUUUUUAUGUUCUUGCUUUUUUGAUCUAGUAGCAUCUCCUUCCCCAUUUAAUACAAUCAUAGGUUGGCUUAGGGGUUUGAGUUUCUAAUGAAAAGCAAAACAUAUGAGCUACUCUUCGAUAUUGGUUACUUUUCAUUCUAUGGGAAUUCUUGGGAGGGAAAAAAGAAACCCAUAUCGAAAUCAUUUUCCCUGUUUGGGAUGUUUUGGUAGGGGUUGGGAAUAAUGGUCUAUGAACAUAUUUUCCUAUACUCAUAAUUAUCUGUUCUUUUAUCGUUAUAGUCUCACUCAACAUAUUAUGCCUUCCGGAUAUUUAUUUUUUACUUGUUACAAGUAGAUAUAUAACCUAUGAGAUUCUAUGUUUCUGACUUGCAUCUGGUGCAAUUUUGCAGCUGCUAGGUGUUUAUUUUGUUUUAUUCUAUUCUUACCUGUGGCAUUCUUGCAAGUACUGCAGUUGCUGCCUCAAGCUUGCUGCUUCUCUCUGCCAAAACUAGCAAGGCAAAAUACAGAUAUUAAAUAUAGGUAAUAUUAAUAUUAUUUAUGCUAAUUGUUUUUAAUGCAAAAAAUGUAAGGUAGAAGAUUUGCAUACUCAUAAUAGGGGAAGAUACCAACAUAAGGAUGCCAUGAUGAAUUGUCUAAUUAUAUUGCUGCCUACAUCUCGUGCACUCGGCCGACCCUAUUAUAUUGCUGCUGAGAUGUAGUUCUAUAUUGUGCUUAAUCUGUUUUUGAUAGUCUCUAGAUUAUCACCCUAGCCAGAAGUUAGUGAUUGACUUCAAUUAGGUGAAAUAAGAAGCAUGUGACAUUGCCAUUCGAGGAAGAUAAGUUUCGAACCUCAGAUUCUAGAUUGAUGCUCAACCUGACCCCUUCCAUCAGUGCCAUCAAGGGUCUUACAAGAACUGUGUAAAUAGAAACAAGAGGUGUUUGCUUUUCUUUUUGGGUAAGUUGAUACUUUUUUCCUACACUAGCAUGUAUGACUCUGGUAGUUUAUUUGGAUAUUCACACAUUCUUGGUACCCCAUUUGAAUCUUUUAAAUGCCAAACUUUUCUAAAGCUAAAGCUGUUAAAUGGAGAACCAUGAAUGGUUUUAUAUCUAUAACAUUUGCUCUCACGCAAGUUAUCUUUUGGCUUAAAGCGUGCUCAAUUUUGAUUACAUUUGGAAGCUUGUUGGUUUUGUUCCAUGACUUGCACUGUGUUUUGGUAUAAGAAAAGGAAUAUGGAAAAGAAUAGUUAUCCAUGAUUCAAUGUUGCCUGGAUAUGUAAAAGCCCCUAGUAUGUAUGGUACUCCCAAAAUGCAAAGUUCAAUGGCACUACAACCUCUCCAUUCUUAUCUUUACACUCUUUUGUUGGCUCACUUCGUCUAUCUCAUUGGCUUGAGAAUGACUUAAAUAUUUGUUGUGUUAUUCAUUCAUUCUCAAUUGAUUUUGGGAUGUAUUAAAGUUAAAAUUUAACUUAUAUUUCAUUGUCAUGAGCCAAAAGAUGAUUUUUAGUUAUGGGUCAAAGAUUUGUCUGAUUCGGUGGAGAGAGUAUAUUGGGAAGUGAGUUUUAUAACACAUCUUAUUGUGAUUUAAAUAUUUGUUGAGUUAUUCCUCUUGAUCUCAUUGGUUUUGGAAAGAAACCUU